CACGUUUCCGUCUGAUAAACAGGGAUCAAGAGGGACCAAAUUUUUCAGAAUAGUACCAGUGAUACUUCUAAGCUGGUGCGAAACUCAGAAGAUGAGUGAAUUUAUUGGGUGUCUUUGUCCGAGGGUUCAUCGAAAAUUAACCGAAGAAUAAACAUGUAGAAAGCUUAGUUGCUCGUCGUUUGGACGAGGGUUCGAAACCCUCCGACUCCACCU
rnacentral:tmRNA from 1 species